UGUUAAAAAUUUCAUCUAUUUCUACUGUUAAAAAUUAGAAUAGCUAACAGAAUAACUAAACAGUGACACGUAAUGUGCUAUGUGUACCUUAUGCUGACAUACAAUGACUAAAUUUUAAUAGUAGAAAUGGAUGAAAUUUUUAAUA
rfam:Gossypium hirsutum cultivar TM-1 chromosome 5, whole genome shotgun sequence